CCCACUCUUGUUCUCCUUUUCUUUUUCUUUUUCAGUCAACACAACACACAUACACACACUCCUCUCCCUCACCCUCCCACCGGUACAUUCCUCAUCCUCACCUCUACCAUUUUUCUGGCAAAAUCACUAGAAAAUCCUCAAGAACAUCACACCUUCACAUAAGUUAAUUGAGGUUCUAGCUAAUCUCCCCUUGGAGCUUGGAGAAUUAGGAUUUUGCGGUUGCUAGGUAAGUAGCUUUUUAAUGGGUAUUUUUGAAAAAUAACCAUAUCUUAUAAAUAUUGUUUUUGGGUCAAACACAUUUUGGAAAAUUAAUGGUGGAACUAUGUUUUUCUAAAAGGUGUUGUGUUAUGACCCUACUAUAUAUGAUUAUAUAUGAAAAUGCAUAUUUUUAUUGCAUAUGGGGGAUUUGCAUGAUUUGUUAGCAAAGAAAAGACUAGCAUCUUUGAUUAAAUUCUAGAAAAUGCGUAUUAUGGAUUUAUUGCAUUAUUUGCAAAAAUAUAAAGAUGCUUUAUUUUGGCCUAUGUUAUUUGGGAAGUUAAUACAAAAUCUCUUUGGCAAGAAAUAAGUUGAAGGCAUUGAGAACCUUGUGAAUAUCUUGGGCAUUCAAAUGUUUUAUGAAACUACUUAGAAGUGAAAUUAUGUAUUUUGAAUUAAAGUUAUGUGAGCUCUUUAUGUUCUACCCAUGUGCUGUGACAUGUGAUUACUCGGUGAUUACCUAGCUAGAUACUAUAGUCUGUGUGACAUUAGUAUCUUAGCACCCGUCUUUGUGAUGGUUAUUAGUUCCGGCUUUGUGUCGGCGAUGAGUUCCGGCUUUGCGUCGACAGUUUAGUUCCGGCUUUGUGUCGGCAAUGAGUUCCGGCUUUGUGUCGGCGAUUAUCAUGUGGCCUUGGGUUAGAUUUUCUGGUUUGGAACGGUGUGUUAUUGCUCACAGUAUAGUAAGUAGUUUCAUGUUCAGAUAUUUUGAGGAAUAUAUAGUAUGUAAUCUCAUGAGAACAUUUUGAGAAGCUUUGUGUUGUGUCAAUUUAUUCAUUAUUGUCAUAUUAUUUUAGGGAAAUGGUUUUGUAGAAACUAUUUGGAAACUUCCAAAUUAAAAGCAUGAUUUGUAAAUUGUUACCAUCAUGAAACUCGCAUUUCCCCACCCCCUUUAAUUAUGCUACUUACUGGGCUUUGUCUCAUUCCAUUAUUUUUAUAACUUUUCAGAGUAGACAACAAUCUUUUGAGACAGCUUUUUGGUGGCUAAUAGUAGUUAGACUAACUACUGAUGGAGGCUGAAUUUUUGUGUAAUGGAUAUAUUAGAUGGUGUACAUCUUAGUCUAGGCUUGACUCAUUCUUUUGUAUAUUAUAGUGGUUAUGACUGUAUUUUCACUGUUGGGACAAGCUGUUGUUAUGUAAUUGUUGUUUUCAGACCUCUAUUCUUUUGUGGCCUAUGGUCCUUGUAAUUAAUGCUUAGAGCUCUGACUUA